UUCUUAUUUACAUGAUAUGUAUCGUCAGUGAGUUGACAUUGGUGCUUUGUUACCUAUGUCUAGAGAAGAUAUAUUUACAUCAAUUUAUUUUUGUGUUUUGAUGUGUACUAAACCACUCUACUGUAGCUGCUAUAGCCAGAUCCAACAAUCAUAAUGGUUUCCUUUUUUUAAUACAUUUCCUUCUUUUUGCAGCUUUGGAAUAUACAAUAAGGUCAAUUUUGCCAGAAAUGGCUGCUCCACAAUUAGUCGAUUCUCGGCCAUCAAAUUGCAGAAAUACUAUUUGGUGCAUUGGAACAAAUAGCUUACAUUUACUCUGUUCUUCCUCAAAUCAUUGUAUGGCAUAUUGAGAUCCUAUUCAGUCUGAAGCAGUUCGUCAAAUACUAUAGCUGCAAAUGGGGUUUUGUAUAGGAGCAAUAUUUUCAUUGGAAUUUUUCAUGGUACCCUUACAACGCAUCUAUUCAGGGAGAUUUCUUUGCUGCCACUGUAGAACUAUUGCUAGCCGAUGAGGGAUUUUCUUUCCAUCCAUUGUUAGUGUCCAUUAUCAAUCAGCAUGGGAGAUGAUUGGUCGCUUCUAGAUGUGUUAGUUAACAUAUACAUGGUGUGUUUCCAUUGAAGCCAUACCAGCUAUGGUGCACAUCAAAAUGCUCCCGUUGUAUCUUAUGGAUUUGACCCAAACCUCUCUCAGGAUGUUAAAUAUAAAUGUCCACUACUUGAAGUGGUUGUGCCAGCUGAUGCACUUCUAGAUGAAGCAGGGCUAUACCCAGGGAAUUAACUUAGAUAUCUGCAAAUGUCAGCUACAAAUAUUCAUCGCUUAAGCAACCUACAGUAGUUGGUGCAUUACGGAAACGAUUGCAUUACUGCUACAUUGUGCAUGCUUUCUGUUAUCAGCUGGUUCUAUGUUAUGGCACAACCUGUAGUUUCUUUCCUAUGCUUUGUGUUGCUUUGUGUAGCACCGAAUACUAUCCCAUAUCUUAUCUGUCUUUGAACCAUUUGUGAUCCCUGUAACCAGUUCA